GCCCUUGACUCUGGGAUAAGCCUGGGAAACUGGGUCUAAUACCGGAUAUGACUGAUCAUCGCAUGGUGGUUGGUGGAAAGCUUUUGCGGUUUUGGAUGGACUCGCGGCCUAUCAGCUUGUUGGUGGGGUAAUGGCCUACCAAGGCGACGACGGGUAGCCGGCCUGAGAGGGUGACCGGCCACACUGGGACUGAGACACGGCCCAGACUCCUACGGGAGGCAGCAGUGGGGAAUAUUGCACAAUGGGCGGAAGCCUGAUGCAGCGACGCCGCGUGAGGGAUGACGGCCUUCGGGUUGUAAACCUCUUUCAGUAGGGAAGAAGCGUAAGUGACGGUACCUGCAGAAGAAGCGCCGGCUAACUACGUGCCAGCAGCCGCGGUAAUACGUAGGGCGCAAGCGUUAUCCGGAAUUAUUGGGCGUAAAGAGCUCGUAAGCGGUUUGUCGCGUCUGCCGUGAAAGUCCGGGGCUCAACUCCGGAUCUGCGGUGGGUACGGGCAGACUAGAGUGAUGUAGGGGAGACUGGAAUUCCUGGUGUAGCGGUGAAAUGCGCAGAUAUCAGGAGGAACACCGAUGGCGAAGGCAGGUCUCUGGGGCAUUAACUGACGCUGAAGAGCGAAAGCAUGGGGAGCGAACAGGAUUAGAUACCCUGGUAGUCCAUGCCGUAAACGUUGGGCACUAAGUGUGGGGGA
rnacentral:rRNA from 1 species